GUGACACUAGAACAGCUGCAUGACAGCAGGCUCCUAUUUCUUGUACUGUCAGGUUUUAUACCAUGAAAGAGCCUGCAGCAGGAAUGAGUUAUGGACAGGGGGGCAGGGUGACCUGAGUUUGUGACAGAUUUGUGCAAAUCCUAUGGGUUCAGUGACAUAGUCCUAUAAAGACCUGGGUAGGAUAUAAAAUGUGUAGCACUGUGCACUAAAGUAACUAGAUUGUAAGCUCCUUUGAGCAGGGCCUUCUUCUCCUCUCGUCUGUUUUGUAGUAUUAUUUUUGUCUGUAAGCUACUAGUUGUUAAAG